rnacentral:rRNA from 1 species
AUUGAACGCUGGCGGCAGGCCUAACACAUGCAAGUCGAGCGAGCGGCGGACGGGUGAGUAAUGUAUGGGAAUCUGCCCGAUGGAGGGGGAUAACUACUGGAAACGGUAGCUAAUACCGCAUACUAUCAGAUGAGCCCAUAUGGGAUUAGCUAGUAGGUGGGGUAAAGGCUCACCUAGGCGACGAUCGCUAGCUGGUCUGAGAGGAUGAUCAGCCACACUGGGACUGAGACACGGUCCAGACUCCUACGGGAGGCAGCAGUGGGGAAUAUUGCACAAUGGGCGCAAGCCUGAUGCAGCCAUGCCGCGUGUAUGAAGAAGGCCUUAGGGUUGUAAAGUACUUUCAGCGGGGAGGCGUUACCCGCAGAAGAAGCACCGGCUAACUCCGUGCCAGCAGCCGCGGUAAUAC